CUUUACUUGCACUACGUGGGCAGAGGUUCUGGUGUCACCCUCUGGGACGCUGGCCUGCGAGGACGUGGAGGUGGCUGUCACGGGGGUGACGGCUGCUGCUGUGCAUCUGCAGGGCUGGACUUUGGAGAUGAAUUUUGAGUUGCAAUCAUCUGAAAAUCAUUUGGAGAUUGUCCAAAUGCCUGAGACCCCAAGGACAUGGACUCCUGAGCACCGUCUCCAUCCUUAAAGGCCAGGCUUCCCUCUGGGCAUCUCCAGGACCAGCACAGGGCCUGGCACCAGGCAGAGCUCAAAGCGAGGAGUGUCUGUCGACCGCACAGUGCAUUGGGCAAGAGUCACGUGUCUGAGGUCACUGAUGCAUCCAGCCCCUGAUUGCUCCCCAGGCAAUGAUGUCAGCACCCGGGACAGCUCCUUGCACACAGUGAGUGCUCAAUAAUUGUUCGUGUGAAGACCAGACACACGUCCUAGAGCAAGCGGGGGGCUGUCAGUUGAUGGGUGCGGAGGAGAGACGUGGUCUCAGCCCUGGGGUUCUGGGGUUCCGAGCCCCUUCUAGCGAGGUGGGUGAAAGGAGAAAGCUGGGGGCGGACACAGGAGCCACUGGAGGGGUCCCAAAGUUGACAGCAGGGGUUCCCACCCAAAAGUCGGGGCUGUGCAUGAGACGUGACUGCACUGGCGUGUUGGUAAACCGGGGCUUCAGGAAAAAAAAGCUCUGAUUUGUAGCAACUGCUGGUUUCCGUGGGGGGUUCUCUGACCGUGGCUGAUCCCAAGCUACCAGUUAAUAGAAUUCCUGAACAUUUCCCGAGCGGCUCUCGGAGCUGGCUGUCCUCUGCACACACUGGCAUGAGUGACCAGGCUGGUUCCCACUAGAGGUCUCACAGCAGAUGUGGGGGCGGGGGCACCGUGGGCUGCGGGGAGCAUGCACAUCUCGCCACACAACGGGGAGCGAUCCUUGAAUCACCACAAAGUCACAGACAAUGAGGGUCUGGGGGUUCAGGCCAAUUAACACCGGAGAGGAGAGCCCAGCAGGAAGGGGGCAGGGCAGGGUCUUCCAGAGGCGAUGAGGACGGUGAAACUGAAACGAUGGACCCCGGAGGCCCCAGAGCCCUCCAGCCUUUUUGAAAGCGACUCUCCUUGGAUGGGGCUACACAGGUCAAAGCUGAGGGAAGGAUGCUGACUGUGCUGCGGUUUUGUCAGAAAAGUUGUGCCAAAGGUUAGUACUCGAUUCAUUCGCUGAUUACUCUAAGAAGCAGGGCACAUUUGCCAGUAUCACCUAAAUUUGUUAAAUCUGAGAUGAAAACUCAUUUUUUGUCACAUUUAGUUUCAUUUUUCCGGAUAAAGCCUUUUAUUCAGAAGAGGUGGGUGAGAACAGGAACUCGUGCCAAUGACCAGCUGGGCGCCCUUCCUGUGCGUCAGUGUCCCACUCUGUAAAAUGGGGACAGUAACACAGUGUCCGCGGUGUGGAGGACUGAACGAUUCCACGUGUGGCUCUGCGAACAGAGCCUGGACUCAAGUGUGUCCCAGUGCGUGUUUCUUCAACACAUCGCAGAACCUUUCCUGUGGGACUUUGGUACCCAGUUUAAUUGGAUUCACCUCAAAUGGCCUUGUCAUCUGAUCAGAUCAUCCUUGGAUAAUAGACACCUCGUGUCAUUACCUGUGGUCCUUGCUGGGAAGCAAAGGCACCAUGGCGUCAUGAGAGGGACUUGGGGGACCUGACCUGGGCCCUGGGCCAGGCUGUGGGGGUGAUUGGGGGUGAGGAGAAACAGAAGAUCCCCCCAAGGAGGGGACAUUUCAUCUGAGACCUGGCAGGUGAGCUGCAGGUAACAGGUGAUGGACUGAGGUGGAGAAACAUUCCAGGCGGAGGGAACAGCAUAUGCAAAGGCCCUGAGACACUGGGAGCCUAGUAUUUCCAAGGCCAGAGGAGAGGCCAGUGUGGCUGGGGCCAAGCAGACACAGGUGAGCAGCAGGUGGCGGAGCAGGCGAGAGGCGGGGACUGGGGGCGUUUGGGCUCCUCCCAAGGGCCGUGGGCAGCCUCUGGAAGUUCUGAAGCAGAGGCGUGACUGGGAUCCGAUUCGCCUCUUGGGGUGUUCCCAGUUUUAAUGGGAUGCUCUCCUAGUCUGGGCCUCUUUUCUUUCCUCCCCGUUCCCUAUCACAGCCUGUUUCACCGUUGAGAACCCGUGUGGGAUGGCCGGGCUCUGCUGUAGGGCCCUGGUCACAUCUCAGGAGAAAAUCAGAGCGGAUGGUCAGGAAGCGUUCAGCAAGGCCUCUGGCCUGGGCAGCAGGGGUCUGAGAGUCAGUCAGCAACAGUGUCUUGUUCUGGGGACCAAGCCUGAGGCAGGGCUUUGAGAGGAAGCCUCAAGACACGUUCCAAGUCACGGGGGUGAUGGAGGGACCAGCAAAGGGGUCAGGGUGGAUGUCCCUGGCCUUGGGAGCGUCAGCGGGCAAGCACCUGCUGGUGGGGAGUUCAGAUCCGCCAGGGCUGCAGGUUUGCGGGGAACCAGGAGACACGGGGGCGUCUCUGUGCAAACAACUUCAGCUCCCACGGUUUACGUCCCUGCGAAGUGUCAAAAUUACUAAAAUUCCUCCAGGGGAUAAACUUACGCCUCUCUGUUUUGUGUCUGCUUAUUGUGGGAUGAACGAUUUCAUUAAGCAACCCAAGUAGCACUUGGAGUAAAAAUAUAGAGAAUUAACUAAAAAGAGGUGAACUGGUGAAAUUUGGCCACAGGACGUUUCCAGAUAAUUAAGGGCCGGCGCCCGGCUGCAUUUCCACACGGCUCUCGUCUCCAGCCUGUCGCUUUUCCCCGAGUGGCACAGACAUGACUUUGUUUUCCAGCGCGAAGAGUCUCUUAAUUAAAUCUUAUUUGUCAAGAAGGUGAGAUGUGUUUGCGUUUCCUCGGGCUCCCAAUGUUAUAAGCUGUGCCAUGUUUUCUCUGAAAAAUGCUCCUUUUCUGCUCGAAAGAGCUGGAUUGCUGCCUUUUCCCUCUUCCGUUGUGAGGAGGAGAUGCCUCAAGUCCUUUGUCAGGUUAUCAAUGGUCCUGCUUAAAGGAUCCUGAAGCCAUCACCUGAAAGUCACGGCUCCUGAAACAUAAUAAAACGCCCACUUUAGCACGUUGUCGCCUGUCAGAGCGAGUUUCCCUCCCCUCAGAGUCACAGAGCCUGUCAACUGCCCGAGUCAAUGACCUCUGCCUGUCGCUUCUGGGGUUUCGCUGUUGACACGGUGUCUCUUUCAGCUUCUCCGAAGCCGUGUGACAUGCUCCGUUUAGUAGUGCGUCCUUCCUUUCUUCUAUCUCAAACUAAUUGCUCUGAUUUAUGUCCCUCGACAACACUCCCACACGCGUGUUAUCUGUACCUUUGCGUGGAGCAGGACGGUCUCAAGUUCAAGGUCCCUGGCAGGUAACCAACACAAUUUCAAGUUCCGGGACAUCGUCUGCAAUCAACAUCAACUACCCCAUCAAGAAAGCAGACCCUGGUGUUGGUGGUGAGUAGCAGAUAAUUUAUGAGCUUGUCAGUGUGUUCCACGGCCCCUGAUCUGUAUCAGCAUGAAAUAAGAAACCAGUCAAGAGGCGUCAGGAAAACACGGCAUGCCCCCGCCCCCUCGCCUUACCAUUUGACGUUGACUCAUUCAUGUAUGAAAUUGAGUCUUUGUGAUGGUGGAGUAUUAAAGAUCCCGUGUAGUCGAAUUAAUAUCAUGGAACCGGAGAGUGGAACCAGGUCAUUAAAUGCUCCGUGGUUCGCCCUCCUUCCAACAGGCAGGAGAAAACAAACAGAAGGCUUAGAUGCAAAUACGAACUCAGGUCCGAGUGUUCAGGAGAACCAGCGUAGGCUGCGAAAGGAGAGCUGGGUGGAGGUCCCAGAUAAUUUGGGUUAAAAAGACUUUCAUUGGGAGAAGCAGUCACCCAGGCACAGGCUGUGGAUCCUGCCGUGGUUUAUCCUCCCUGUCUGUCUGCUUGUGGAUGACCUCAGGGUUCAUGCCAACGUUUAGUGAAACUGUUGAAGCAUCACUGAAAUUCCUUGAGCCAAAGGGAACGUGUUCAGGCCCCAGUCCUGCCCCCCCUGUGAGCUGGACAGACCGUCCUCCCUCUCUGGGCCUCAGUUUCCCCAUCUAUAGAUUCCACACUCCCUUUGACGUUCGUUGGUGUUGCCCAGUGAAGAUAAAGGAGGCGGAGGGGUGGAAGAGAACCUGCUUCUGCUGGUGUCCAAGAGAAAGCUUGAUGUCAGGACAUCCUGAGACGUGUCCUGGGGAGAAGGAAGCCUUCAAGGGACAAAGGAGCUGUGUAGGAGUCACAGCUCUAACGGAACAGCCAACUUUCAACCAACCAAAAAUACUGCAUCCCUCCCUCCCCAGCGGAGUGACCAGGAGGUGAUCGGAACACAGUGGAUCCCGUGGACCCACAGGGAGUCAGUUUCUGCAGGGGGAGAUAGAUGAGGCUGAAAAAAAAAUCUGCUGUGGAUUUUGAAGAAGGCAACGUGGAGGCAGCACCUUCGGGCCCUCACUGAGCCGCAGCCUCCCCCUCCUCCGGCUCCUGGCUCCCAGUGUAGAGGCCUCCGGUCCUGGUCCUUCCACCCAGGACGGUGGACUGGACCUGCAUGUCGAGAUUUGCUCUGCUGGGUGAUGUCUCAAGAAACCCCAGGCCAGGGAGUGCAGCCAGGCCAUUGAGCAAAGUUCUCUGAGAAGAAAUGGAGAUGAAACCUCUGGAUGAGAGGAUGCCACGGAACCUUCCAGACCUGAAAUUCUAGGAGGGGGGGCGGGGUGAGAUGCCCCGAAAACUGCUGUUCGGCCUGAAGCCUGCGGGGCCUUAAGGAAGGGGCCGCAGCAGAGAAGAGGGAAAUCCGACAAGUGAUACCGUUUGCCAAGAAACAUCAGCAGUGGGACGUGUGUGUCGGCUGUGUCUACACGAGUCAGACACAGCAAGUGAUUGUUCCCAAUCUAAUCCUAUUAUGGGCAAUUUAAGGGACGGUCUGCUGUGAAACGGAAGGCCCAGCUGGGCACCUGGAGGUGGCGUUUCCAUGAGACCUGCUGUUCUGACAUCUUCCGGCACCGACCACGGCCCUGGGGCCACAGUGGGAACUGAAAGUGGGCAGAGGAUGUGAUUGGAGGCAUCUGUACCCGUUAGUCCCGGCUUCUGGGGGGCCAGGUCACCCUGCAGACAUGUGGCUCUUGAGCCAGCUUUCCUGGUUCCCAGAGGCGAGACACACAGGCUGUGGAGUCAGACCCCAUGGGUCCAGGUCCCAGAUCUGCCGCUUACAGCUACUUUCAGAACUAGCAGCUUUUUAAUUUUCUGAAUGAAAAAUAAUUUUUAUUAUAAAAAUGAUAGAUAUUCGUUGUAAAAAUAAAUGAUCUCUGGAGCACGGCCUUGCAACAUUUCAGUUGGAUCUGGAGUCCUGAGAGCUGCCUUUUCCACACAAAGAUCGUCAUGUGGCCCCCACCUCACCCCCUCUAGAGGAAGCUGAGUCAUUAGUCCGGCAUUCAAGGCCACUGUGGUCCCGCCCAAGUGAUGCGGAGGUGACAGGGGUCG
rnacentral:lncRNA from 1 species